UAGUCCACGCCGUAAACGAUGAUAACUGGCUGUUCGGGCCCACAGGGCUUGAGUGGCGCAGCUAACGCAUUAAGUUAUCCGCCUGGGGAGUACGGUCGCAAGAUUAAAACUCAAAGGAAUUGACGGGGGCCUGCACAAGCGGUGGAGCAUGUGGUUUAAUUCGACGCAACGCGCAGAACCUUACCAGCUUUUGACAUCCUGGUCGCGGAUUUGGGAGACCAUUUCCUUCAGUUCGGCUGGACCAGUGACAGGUGCUGCAUGGCUGUCGUCAGCUCGUGUCGUGAGAUGUUGGGUUAAGUCCCGCAACGAGCGCAACCCUCAUCCUUAGUUGCCAUCAUUUAGUUGGGCACUUUAAGGAAACUGCCGGUGAUAAGCCGGAGGAAGGUGGGGAUGACGUCAAGUCCUCAUGGCCCUUACAGGCUGGGCUACACACGUGCUACAAUGGUAUCUACAGUGAGCAGCGAUCCCGCAAGGGUUAGCUAAUCUCCAAAAGNUA
rnacentral:rRNA from 1 species